CUUUAAAAGAAAUAACAAAUACCAAUUUGUUUACAAAAAAAGAAUUUUGGAGGACAUUAUGGAAAACGAUACGACUUUUGAAAUAACUGGCUACGUCAGUUCAAUAUUUCAAAUUAAAUCAACCACAAGAAAUGGCAAAACAACGCAUCUUUUUAAUUUUAUUAUGAGCAACGGUGAAAUUACCAUUCAAAUUGCUGCCUGGAAUGAUUUAGCUUUUAAAUAUGCAGACAUAAUAACUCAAACAGAACAAGUUUAUUCUCUACAAAAAGUGGUACCUAAAAUCCCUUUGAGGAAAGAAUAUUUACAUAAUGCUUCAUUUCCAUACGAAUUAUUAAUCCGAAGUUCCACUAUUGU